CUACGGGUGGCUCCAGUGGGGAAUAUUGCACAAUGGGGGAAACCCUGAUGCAGCAACGCCGCGUGAGUGAAGAAGGCUUUCGAGUCGUAAAGCUCUGUCCUAUGGGAAGAAUAGAUGACGGUACCAUAGGAGGAAGCCCCGGCUAACUACGUGCCAGCAGCCGCGGUAAUACGUAGGGGGCAAGCGUUAUCCGGAAUCAUUGGGCGUAAAGGGUGCGUAGGCGGCCAGACAAGUCAGAGGUGAAAGGCUACGGCUUAACCGUAGUAAGCCUUUGAAACUGUUUGGCUUGAGUGCAGAGAGGAAAGUGGAAUUCCUAGUGUAGCGGUGAAAUGCGUAGAUAUUAGGAGGAACACCAGUGGCGAAGGCGACUUUCUGGACUGUAACUGACGCUGAGGCACGAAAGCGUGGGGAGCGAACAGGAUUAGAUACCCCAGUAGUC
rnacentral:rRNA from 1 species